rnacentral:tRNA from 1 species
GCCUCCGUAGCUCAGCGGUAGAGCGUUUGACUUGUAUUUAUCAUCAUUCUACUGGUUUUAAAAAGCCAUCAAACGGUCGGGGGUUCAAUCCCCCCCGGGGGCU